AUGGCUGUCGUCAGCUCGUGUCGUGAGAUGUUGGGUUAAGUCCCGCAACGAGCGCAACCCUUGUCAUUAGUUGCUACAUUAAGUUGGGCACUCUAAUGAGACUGCCGGUGACAAACCGGAGGAAGGUGGGGAUGACGUCAAGUCCUCAUGGCCCUUAUAGGUGGGGCUACACACGUCAUACAAUGGCUGGUACAGAGGGUUGCCAACCCGCGAGGGGGAGCUAAUCCCAUAAAACCAGUCGUAGUCCGGAUCGCAGUCUGCAACUCGACUGCGUGAAGUCGGAAUCGCUAGUAAUCGCGGAUCAGCAUGCCGCGGUGAAUACGUUCCC
rnacentral:rRNA from 1 species